AACCCAAAUUAAUUACACUCGGCGUAAAACGUGCUCUUAAGUUUAACAAAAAUAGAAUUAAAAACCAACCAAUAUGUGAAAAUUAAUUGUUGUUAUUAAAAUCACUAACGAAAGUAAUUCUACUACCUUUAAUGCACGAUAGCUAAGAUCCAAACUGGGAUUAGAUACCCCACUAUGCUUAGCCCUAAACCCUAAUAAUUUAUAACAAAAAUAUUUGCCAGAGGACUACUAGCCACCGCUUAAAACUCAAAGGACUUGGCGGUACUUUAUAUCCACCUAGAGGAGCCUGUUCUGUAAUCGAUAAACCCCGCUAUACCUUACCACCCCUUGCUAAUU
rnacentral:rRNA from 1 species